AAUAGAAGUCGUGGCGAUUUGCGGCAUAUUGCGGCCACGUUAAACAAACGCUAAAAAGCCGGCCCUUGGGCGCC
rnacentral:ncRNA from 2 species